GAUAGUCCCGUAUGCGAAAAACAAACCUUAGCUAGCAGUAUCCUGAGUAGGGCGGGACACGAGGAAUCCUGUCUGAAUCCGGGUCGACCACGAUCCAACCCUAAAUACUAAUACCAGAUCGAUAGUGCACAAGUACCGUGAGGGAAAGGUGAAAAGAACUGAGGUGAUCAGAGUGAAAUAGAACCUGAAACCAUUUGCUUACAAUCAUUCAGAGCCCUAUGUAGCAAUACAGGGUGAUGGACUGCCUUUUGCAUAAUGAGCCUGCGAGUUGUGGUGUCUGGCAAGGUUAAGCAAACGCGAAGCCGUAGCGAAAGCGAGUCUGAAUAGGGCGCUUAGUCAGAUGCUGCAGACCCGAAACGAAGUGAUCUAUCCAUGAGCAAGUUGAAGCUAGUGUAAGAACUAGUGGAGGACUGAACCCAUAGGCGUUGAAAAGCCCCGGGAUGACUUGUGGAUAGGGGUGAAAGGCCAAUCAAACUUCGUGAUAGCUGGUUCUCUCCGAAAUAUAUUUAGGUAUAGCGUUGUGUCGUAAUAUAAGGGGGUAGAGCACUGAAUGGGCUAGGGCAUACACCAAUGUACCAAACCCUAUCAAACUCCGAAUACCUUAUAUGUAAUCACAGCAGUCAGGCGGCGAGUGAUAAAAUCCGUCGUCAAGAGGGAAACAACCCAGACUACCAGCUAAGGUCCCUAAAUCUUACUUAAGUGGAAAACGAUGUGAAGUUACUUAAACAACCAGGAGGUUGGCUUAGAAGCAGCCAUCCUUUAAAGAAAGCGUAAUAGCUCACUGGUCUAGUGAUUUUGCGCGGAAAAUAUAACGGGGCUAAAGUAAGUACCGAAGCUGUAGACUU
rnacentral:rRNA from 1 species